CCCUAGUGGCCAAUCGUGGCGCGGAGAGGCGGGGCCCGAGUCUCGAAGGGGCGGGCACCGGGCUGGCACAAAGGAGCAAGAAGGGGCCGGCUGGGGAGCGGGGGCGCGGAGAAAGGCGGAGGGAGCGGGAGGAGGGCUCCUGCGGCCGCGCAGCCCCCUCCCCGCUCCUGGCUGGGUGCUCACCGCCUUAGGUGGUGGAAUAACCUGCACCUGAGUCGCUUGGAGCCCGAAGGAUGCCGGGAACCCCGGGCCCACUGUGGUGACCCAGCCCUUCCUCCCGCCUGCUCUCGGUCUCCCCUAACUGUAGGUCCACCUCUCCUAGGCCCUGGCUGUGUGGGGGAAGGUCACUCCGGGACGCCCGUGACUCUGCCCAGCUCCGCCCCGCCUGCCUCUCAGCUCUUGCACCUGCCGCCCCCUCGCGCUCCCUACCCCUGCGGUCGCAGUUCCGGCCUGUCCCUCUCCUUCCAGGCCAACCCAGCCGGUAGCCCCAGUUCCUUACUCCUAGGCUGUGCUUCUUGUGGGCGGCCUGAACCACCUCGAGCAGGACAAUUGCCAAACCCACUCAGGGCGGUAGCCUGGAGUGAGUCGUCCUAUCGAAACCGGUUGUGGCUCAGGCCAUCCUAGACCCCGGGGGACAAUGUCUGCACGUGACCCGGCCACCCAGGACUCUCCUCCUGCACGUGACCCGGCCACCCAGGACUCUCCUCGCCAGCUUCCGACACCGAGUGGGACAGAGGAUCACAGCUUGCUCCUGAUUUUUGGCUGACUUUGGACAAACUGCCCUCUCUGGGCACCAGUUUCACUUUUCAGAUGGGACAGCGCCUGCCUAAGGGGACCCUGCUCUGAACUCAAGCUGUCUGUCCAAAAGGACUGCUCAGAGGGGCGGGUUUCUCCAGAGCCACCUGCUUGCUGUGCUUCGCUCCUGGACAUGGAUUUGCUUGUCUUCUGAUCAGAGUUCUUAAAGGCAGCUUCACAGAACUUUCUUAAAUUCUAGAUAUAAGGUGAAUUCUCUAAGCAUGUGAAUUUUUUCUGUCCAAGCUGGUUCCAAAAUGGUCUAGCAGGUGGCUGCGCCUGAUAAACCGGGGAAGGAAAAACAGUAUCCAGCUCCAGGGCUCUCUCACCGGGACUGAGAUGAAUAAUUUGAUCAGGAUACCACAGAAGAGUAACCAUGGGGGUGUCUUCUGAAGGAAGCAAGUCUGAAAAUGGAAAUGGCGGGCUCUGGAGGACAGGAACACCAGGCAGAGGUCACCUUCUGGGAUGCUGUACUUUCCUGGCAGCUGCCUCCGGGGCAUGGUGUGACCGGAUCCUCUAUGACACCCAAAAGGACACAUGCCGAGAUUCUGGGGUUGCUCAGCACAUGGAGAACCUGGGAGGAUGGUGAGCCCAAGUGCACACAGAAGCUCCGUGGUGUUUCCUCCGAACCUUGCCUAGGCCUCCCCUGCAUCUGGCUGUUCCUGAAUUGUAUACUCUUAGAAUAAAUAGGAAAAUGUAAGUAAAGUAUUCCCCUGAGUUUUGUGAAUCAUUCCAGAAAAUAAUAGAACCUGAGAGGAGGUUGGGGGACCCUCUGCUUCAUUAAUUGGUGGGUUAGGAGCACAGAUGAAAAUUGGGGGGCUGGAGGUUGGCAUCUGAAGUGGGGGCAGUCCGUGGGAUGGAGCCUUUAACCUGUGGGAGCUGAUCUGCCUCCAGGCUGACAGGGUCAGAAUUGACUGAGUCCUAGGACACCCAGUUGGUGUCUGAAUUCCUGGUGUGUGUGGAAAACCCAAACCCAAUUUUGGGGACCAGAAGUGAGCAGUUGAGGGUGGAGGAGGAAGGAGCAGUCAGUGUUUUGCUUUCUGAUUACUAACACCUGUUAUGACCAGGAGUGGUCAAGGCAAAGAACAUGUCCAUCUCUACAAGGUGCCCUCAGGGUCCACACACACACUUCUCUCCCACCCUCCACCUCUUCAGCUCUGGACAGCGGUUGGCCUUCUCUAUUUCUAGAACAUCUGCCAUUUCUGGAAAUACAACACGUGACUUUUGGGGACUGGCUUUGCUCAUGGCAUGACUGUCAGGAAGUUCACCAGGUGGGUGCUAGCUAGAACCUUGGGGCGUGGAUGUCCUUCGGCUUCAUCACUCUCCUGCUGAAGGACAUCUGGCUCGGUUCCAGUUUGGAACCCUGAUGAAUAAACUGCUUUAUACAUUUUUGUACAGUUUUCAUGGGAAUGUGUCUAUUUCUCUGGGAUAAAUGUCCAAGAACACAGUCGGUGGGUCACGUGGGAGUCACACGCCUCCCACCCACCAGCAGCGUGUGGGUGGCCCUGUCCUUCACAUCCUCAUGGGUGUUGACUGUUGCCACACCUUUUACCUCAGCCAUCCCUACUGCCCCUUGUGGUUUUAAUUUGCAUGUCCUAGUCGGCACACAUUUCCUUGUCACGUGCAUUCCUCUUUGGUAAAAUGUUUGUUCAUGUCUUCUAUCCAUUUCCCAAUUGGACUGUUUAGAAUUUCAAGAGUUUUAAAAAUUUAUUUUAAAACAGUCUUUGGUUAGAUAUAAGAUCUGCAAACAUUUUCUCCCACUCUGUACCUUGUCUUUUCAUCCUUUUAACAGGGUCUACAACAAAAGAAAUUUAAAAAAAAAUUUAUGGGGCUGGGUUUGUAGC